rnacentral:rRNA from 1 species
AUUGAACGCUGGCGGCAUGCCUUACACAUGCAAGUCGAACGGUAACAGGUCUUCGGAUGCUGACGAGUGGCGAACGGGUGAGUAAUACAUCGGAACGUGCCCGAGAGUGGGGGAUAACGAGGCGAAAGCUUUGCUAAUACCGCAUACGAUCUCAGGAUGAAAGCAGGGGACCGCAAGGCCUUGCGCUCACGGAGCGGCCGAUGGCAGAUUAGGUAGUUGGUGGGAUAAAAGCUUACCAAGCCGACGAUCUGUAGCUGGUCUGAGAGGACGACCAGCCACACUGGGACUGAGACACGGCCCAGACUCCUACGGGAGGCAGCAGUGGGGAAUUUUGGACAAUGGGCGCAAGCCUGAUCCAGCCAUGCCGCGUGCAGGAUGAAGGCCUUCGGGUUGUAAACUGCUUUUGUACGGAACGAAAAGACUCUGGUUAAUACCUGGGUCCAUGACGGUACCGUAAGAAUAAGCACCGGCUAACUACGUGCCAGCCGCCGCAGUAAAAC